GAUGAACGCUGGCGGCGUGCCUAAUACAUGCAAGUCGAGCGAACAGACGAGGAGCUUGCUCCUCUGACGUUAGCGGCGGACGGGUGAGUAACACGUGGAUAACCUACCUAUAAGACUGGGAUAACUUCGGGAAACCGGAGCUAAUACCGGAUAAUAUAUUGAACCGCAUGGUUCAAUAGUGAAAGACGGUUUUGCUGUCACUUAUAGAUGGAUCCGCGCCGCAUUAGCUAGUUGGUAAGGUAACGGCUUACCAAGGCAACGAUGCGUAGCCGACCUGAGAGGGUGAUCGGCCACACUGGAACUGAAACACGGUCCAGACUCCUACGGGAGGCAGCAGUAGGGAAUCUUCGGCAAUGGGCGAAAGCCUGACGGAGCAACGCCGCGUGAGUGAUGAAGGUCUUCGGAUCGUAAAACUCUGUUAUUAGGGAAGAACAAAUGUGUAAGUAACUAUGCACGUCUUGACGGUACCUAAUCAGAAAGCCACGGCUAACUACGUG
rnacentral:rRNA from 1 species